UUUUCUAAUAUUGAAUUAUAUUCAGAUGCCAUAGCUUCUGCUCAGCGCGGAUCGUCCCUGGCUUCCGCAUAUGUUAUUGGUUCUCCGCCUUCUUCAACAAUACCUAUAAAAUUUUCCAAAUAAUCAUUGAGACGGUAAUCCGCAUGGGUGCAUGGCGCGCUGCGGUGUCGGGUAGAGCGGCAAAUGGUUGUUUCUGGCUUCGUAAUCUCCGGUGGAUUUGAUGAGAUCGUGAGGUGCGAAUGAAUAAUUACUGGUUGGGUCGUAGAUGUUAUCUCUGAGCUCGGGUCUACGACAGUCGUGGUGGUCAAUGUCAGAGAUAAUUCGGGAAGAGUAUGGUUGUCGUCAUCCGGAUUUGGAGUUGUAGCUUUUGGAGUGGGUAGAUCAAGAGGUAGUCCAGAUAUGGUGUUGUUUGAGUGCAGCACGCGUGGGAGUUGCAUCGGUCCAGCUUUUUCCAAGAUUUGGAUGUCCUUUGAUAUGACAAUUUUUCAUGUAUGAGGGUCAUAACACCGGAAUUCUUUCACUUGGUGAUCGAAGCUUAGUAAUAGAUUUAGUUGGGAGCGCGGAGACAGUUCAUUAAGAUUGGGAUGAGUGUAUAGCAUGUACACAGGAGAACCAAAAGUACAAAAAUCUGAGACGUCCGGUUUCACGCCUGUAAAAAGCUCAUUUGGUGUUUUAUCGGGGUAGUCCUUACUUGAUCGCACAUUCAUAAUGUUGCACGCUGCGCGAACCGCUUCUGCCCAGAAUUCUCUGGGUAGAUCGCUAUUGACCAUGAGACAACAGACUAUGAAAUACACCCAAGUGCAACAUGAGAAGUCGUCUACUAUGAGCUGGAAAUAUAGUGUGCCCCCAAGAGACCGCAUCUGGAAAGGUCCUGCGAUAUUAGAAUGAACUAAUUCGAGGGUUUUUUCGGUGUGAGAGGUUCUGAGUUUUGGUAGGUUCCGCCUGGUCUGUUUUCCCUUCAAACAGCUUUUGCACACGCUAUUGGUAAUUAUGAGAUUGGGUAGGCCUUGGACAGCACCUGAGUUGAUCAUCCGCCUUGUGCGUUGAUAAUUGUAGUGUCCCAAACGUUUGUGCUAGACUGCGGCUUCAGAGAGUAAAUUGUUGGUGUAGGCUAGAGUAGGUUGUAUUGAGCAUGUCAAGACUUCUGAACAAUUGUGAAGGGUCUCGUUGCUCAACCUGUAGAGACCAUUGUGGGUCUACUAUGAGCUGGAAAUAUAGCGAGACGUCUCGCAUUGCAAUAGCCACUAUCUUGUGUAAUCUGUCUGGGAUUUUUGCGCCGU